rnacentral:tRNA from 1 species
GAGGGUAUGGCUCAGUGGCAGAGUGCAUGCUUAGCAUGCACGAGGUCCUGGGUUCAAUUCUUAGUACCUCCA